AGGUCAAAUCAUCAUGCCCCUUACAUCUAGGGCUACAGGCGUGCUACAAUGGCUGGUACAAUGAGACGCAAUACCGCGAGGUGGAGCUAAUCUCCAAAACCAGUCCCAGUUCGGAUUGGAGUCUGCAACUCGACUCCAUGAAGUUGGAAUCGCUAGUAAUCCUGAAUCAGAAUGUCAGGGUGAAUACGUUCCCGGGUGUU
rnacentral:rRNA from 1 species